rnacentral:rRNA from 1 species
CCUACGGGAGGCAGCAGUAGGGAAUUUUCGGCAAUGGGGGGAACCCUGACCGAGCAACGCCGCGUGAACGAAGAAGUUAUUCGUAAUGUAAAGUUCUUUUAACAGGGAAGAAAGAGAAAUUUGACGGUACCUGAAGAAUAAGCUCCGGCUAACUACGUGUCAGCAGCCGCGGUAAUACGUAGGGAGCGAGCGUUAUCCGGAAUUAUUGGGCGUAAAGGGUGCGUAGAUGGCAUAGUAAGUCUUUUGUAAAAAUGCUGGGCUCAACCCAGUAGGGCAAAAGAUACUGCAAAGCUAGAGUAUGACAGAGGCAAGUGGAACUACAUGUGUAGCGGUAAAAUGCGUAGAUAUAUGUAAGAACACCAGUGGCGAAGGCGGCUUGCUGGGUCGAUACUGACAUUGAGGCACGAAAGCGUGGGGAGCAAACAGGAUUAGAUACCCCAGUAGUC